rnacentral:rRNA from 1 species
GUGUUGUGAAAUGUUGGGUUAAGUCCCGCAACGAGCGCAACCCUUAUCCUUUGUUGCCAGCGGUUAGGCCGGGAACUCAAAGGAGACUGCCAGUGAUAAACUGGAGGAAGGUGGGGAUGACGUCAAGUCAUCAUGGCCCUUACGAGUAGGGCUACACACGUGCUACAAUGGCGCAUACAAAGAGAAGCGACCUCGCGAGAGCAAGCGGACCUCAUAAAGUGCGUCGUAGUCCGGAUUGGAGUCUGCAACUCGACUCCAUGAAGUCGGAAUC